GAUGAACGCUGGCGGCGUGCCUAAUACAUGCAAGUCGAGCGAACAGACGAGGAGCUUGCUCCUCUGACGUUAGCGGCGGACGGGUGAGUAACACGUGUAUAACCUACCUAUAAGACUGGGAUCACUUCGGGAAACCGGAGCUAAUACCGGAUAAUAUAUUGAACCGCAUGGUUCAAUAGUGAAAGACGGUUUUGCUGUCACUUAUAGAUGGAUCCGCGCCGCAUUAGCUAGUUGGUAAGGUAACGGCUUACCAAGGCAACGAUGCGUAGCCGACCUGAGAGGGUGAUCGGCCACACUGGAACUGAGACACGGUCCAGACUCCUACGGGAGGCAGCAGUAGGGAAUCUUCCGCAAUGGGCGAAAGCCUGACGGAGCAACGCCGCGUGAGUGAUGAAGGUCUUCGGAUCGUAAAACUCUGUUAUUAGGGAAGAACAAAUGUGUAAGUAACUAUGCACGUCUUGACGGUACCUAAUCAGAAAGCCACGGCUAACUACGUG
rnacentral:rRNA from 1 species